rnacentral:lncRNA from 1 species
UUUGCCCCAUGGUCAAGUCCCUGUUCCCCAGGCAGGUUUCAGCUGAUUGGCAGCAGGCUCCCUGAGUGAUGAGCUUGAACCUGUGGUGUUUCUGGGCAGAAGCUUAUCUUUUUUGAGAGUGUCCGAAGAUGAAGGCAUGGCGAUGCCCGUCCUCUGGCUUGGGUUAAUUCUUCGGUGACACUGGCAUUGCUGGGUGGUGAUGCCCGUCCUCUGGCUUGGGUUAAUUCUUCGGUGACACUGGCGUUGCUGGGUGGCAAUGCCCAUCCUCUGCCUUGGGUUAAUUCUUCGGUGACACUGGCGUUGCUGGGUGGCGAUGCCCGUCCUCUGGCUUGGGUUAAUUCUUGGAUGACGUCGGCGUUGCUGGGAGAAUGUGCCGUUCCUGCCCUGCCUCCACCCACCUCGGGAGCAGAAGCCCGGCCUGGACACCCCUCGGCCUGGACACCCCUCGAAGGAGAGGGCGCUUCCUUGAGUAGUGACUAGGCUACUUUUGCCCACUGUAAAAGGCACCGUCAUCCUGGUAUCAAGAUUCUGGAGAGGCCAGAUUUGAAAUCAAG